UCAGGACGAACGCUGGCGGCGUGCCUAAUACAUGCAAGUCGAGCGGACAGAUGGGAGCUUGCUCCCUGAUGUUAGCGGCGGACGGGUGAGUAACACGUGGGUAACCUGCCUGUAAGACUGGGAUAACUCCGGGAAACCGGGGCUAAUACCGGAUGGUUGUUUGAACCGCAUGGUUCAAACAUAAAAGGUGGCUUCGGCUACCACUUACAGAUGGACCCGCGGCGCAUUAGCUAGUUGGUGAGGUAAYGGCUCACCAAGGCRACGAUGCGUAGCCGACCUGAGAGGGUGAUCGGCCACACUGGGACUGAGACACGRCCCAGACUCCUACGGGAGGCAGCAGUAGGGAAUMUUCCGCAAUGGACGAAAGUCUGACGGAGCAACGCCGCGUGAGUGAUGAAGGUUUUCGGAUCGUAAAGCUCUGUUGUUAGGGAAGAACAAGURCCGUUCGAAUAGGGCGGUACCUUGMCGGUACCUAACCAGAAAGCCACGGCUAWCUACGUGCCAGCAGCCGCGGUAAUACGUAGGUGGCAAGCGUUGUCCGGAAUUAUUGGGCGUAAAGGGCUCGCAGGCGGUUUSUUAAGUSKGAUGUGAAAGCCCCCGGCUCAMCCGGGGAGGGUCAUUGGAAACUGGGGAACUUGAGUGCAGAAGAGGAGAGUGGAAUUCCACGUGUAGCGGUGAAAUGCGUAGAGAUGUGGAGGAACACCAGUGGMGAAGGCGACUCUCUGGUCKGUAACUGACGCUGAGGAGCGAAAGCGUGGGGAGCGAACAGGAUUAGAUACCCYGGUAGUCCGSGCCGUAAACGAUGAGUGCUAAGUGUUAGGGGG
rnacentral:rRNA from 2 species